rnacentral:rRNA from 1 species
UACGGAGGGAGCUAGCGUUGUUCGGAAUUACUGGGCGUAAAGCGCACGUAGGCGGCUUUUUAAGUCAGGGGUGAAAUCCCGGGGCUCAACCCCGGAACUGCCCUUGAAACUGGAGAGCUAGAAUCUUGGAGAGGCGAGUGGAAUUCCGAGUGUAGAGGUGAAAUUCGUAGAUAUUGGGAAGAACACCAGUGGCGAAGGCGGCUCACUGGUCCGGUACUGACGCUGAGGUGCGAAAGCGUGGGGAGCAAACAGG